rnacentral:rRNA from 1 species
GACGAACGCUGGCGGCGUGCCUAAUACAUGCAAGUAGAACGCAGUUGCGAACGGGUGAGUAACGCGUAGGUAACUGCCUCAUAGCGGGGGACAACUAUUGGAAACGAAAGCUAAUACCGCAUACGGUGAGAUGGACCUUCGUUGUAUUAGCUAGUUGGUGAGGUAAAGGGCCACCAAGGGGACGAUUCAUAGCCGACCUGAGAGGGGGAUCGGCCACCAUGGGACGUGGGCACCGCCCCAACUCCCACGGGGGGCAGCAGGAGGGAAACUUCGGGAAUGGGCGGAAGUCUGACCGGGCAACGCCGCGGGAGUGGAGAAGGUUUUCGGGUCUGAAAACUCUGUUGGUAGAGGAACGGUAACUAACCAGAAAGGGACGGCUAACUACGUGCCAGCAGCCGCGGUAAUUC